rnacentral:rRNA from 1 species
AUGGAAAGAAGUGAUUUUUGGUCCGGAGGAAAGAACAGGGGAGCUGCGCGGGGGAGAGCACCGGGAGGAGGCUCGGGGGAGCUGCAUGGCGCGGCGGCGUGGCCUGGCCGGCGAGCAGGCAGAGAGAAAAUGGAGAUGGAGCAGAGUGUGGUGUCGGAGGGGAUUCGAGGAGUGCAGGUUAUGUCGGACAAUUGUGGAGGGAGUUUUCAGAAAAAUGCCAUUGCGGCAAGUAUUUGGAACCGGAGGGAGUAUCAAACUCGCAAUGUAGUACUCCCUCAAACUAAUCUCUACGAAGCUUAUGUUGAAAGAUUGUCAUGUGUACUUAUCAAAUCACUGUCAUGUUGUGCUUGCUCAGUGACAUGCAUUGCCCAAUUUGUUUAUAUCAACAUCAAUUAG